UUUGUUACUUCAAACCAAUCGGACUUCGGUCUGACAUCAAGUGAUAUUGAACAAUUUAGCUGAUCGCACGGUCUAAGAACCGGCGACAUAUCCUUCAAAUGUCUGCCUUAUCAACUUUCGAUGGUAGAUUAUGCGCCUACCAUGGUUGUAACGGGUAACGGAGAAUCAGGGUUUGAUUCCGGAGAGGGAGCCUGAGAAACGGCUACCACAUCCAAGGAAGGCAGCAGGCACGCAAAUUACCCACUCCCGGCACGGGGAGGUAGUGACGAAAAAUAACAAGCUGGUCUCAAUGAGUUCCAGCAUUGUAAUGGGAACAAUUUAAAUCUUUUAUCGAGGAUCUAUUGGAGGGCAAGUCUGGUGCCAGCAGCCGCGGUAAUUCCAGCUCCAAUAGCGUAUAUUAAAGUUGUUGCGGUUAAAAAGCUCGUAGUUGGAUCUAGGAUUAGGGCUACGGUCGUUCAGCUUGGACGUACUGUAUGCCCGACUCCUUUUCUCUAGUAUUCGAUUGUUGCUCUUAAAUGAGUGACUUUAGUUGCUGGAACUUUUUACCUUGAAAAAAAUUGAAGUGCUCAAAGCAGG
rnacentral:rRNA from 1 species